rnacentral:rRNA from 1 species
UACGUGGGGUGCGAGCGUUGUCCGGAAUUAUUGGGCGUAAAGGGCUCGUAGGCGGUUUGUCGCGUCGGGAGUGAAAUCCUACGGCUUAACUGUGGGCUUGCUUUCGAUACGGGCAGACUAGAGGUAUGCAGGGGAGAACGGAAUUCCUGGUGUAGCAGUGAAAUGCGCAGAUAUCAGGAGGAACACCGGUGGCGAAGGCGGUUCUCUGGGCAUGAUCUGACGCUGAGGCGCGAAAGCUAGGGGAGCGAACAGG